UAAGAGGCUACUCGAUGAAUGGCUUUGCCAAU
rnacentral:piRNA from 1 species